AGGACAAGGCAUAGAAGUGUUGAAGAAUGAGUUUCUGUUGAUCUCCAAAGUCCAACACAAGAAUCUUGUAAAGCUCAUGGGUUGCUGCAUUAAAGAUGAUGAGAAGUUGAUGCGAAACAAAAGCCUGGAUAUGAUAUUAUUGGGUUAGUUUCACUGGCCCUUUAUGUUUGGCUGCAAUUUCUCAUUGUUACCUAUCUUUCUUCAAUAUCCUUGAUAAUGUCUGAGCUCUUCCUAUCCUAGUACGCCCAACUCAGGGGAACUAUUGAUUUCAUUUCUAAUGGCAAUGGGAAGACCAGUGCUUGACUGGGUUAAACGCUUCAAUAUUAUUCAAGGUGUUGCUAGAGGACUUGUUUAUCUCCACCAUGAUUCCUGUUUGAAGGUGUUGGUUGGCACGUAUCUUUCAAGGGACACACAAUCUAGCAAACACUCAGAGUCAGAAGGUUGUGGGAACUCUGUGCACCCAUAUACAUACUGAAAUGAGAACUCGUUCCUGCACUUUAACUUUCAUCAAGAUCCGUAUGCGGAGUACGAUUAUUGGAUUAAUGAGAUAGGUGUUGAUGGACUUUUUACAGACUUUACAGGCAGCCUGCAUAAUUAUCAAGAGUGGAGCUCCUUUAAGGAAAGUGAUGACAAGAAUGCAUCAAACUUACUGCAUAAAAUAGCGUCAAUGGUCUCUCCCUAUGGAA